rnacentral:rRNA from 1 species
AAACUUUCAACAAUGGAUCUCUUGGUUCCGGCAUCGAUGAAGAACGCAGCGAAAUGCGAUAACUAGUGUGAAUUGCAGAAUUCCGUGAAUCAUCGAGUCUUUGAACGCACAUUGCGCCCCCUGGCAUUCCGGGGGGCAUGCCUGUCCGAGCGUCAUUGC